AAUGCUUGGGCAAAGAUUCAUCAGUGCUUAUCUAUUCAGGGCCUUUGCCCAUCAGGUGGCAGGAGUGAUACUGGUGGCAGCGAUGGUGGAACUGGAAGCAGGAGUGAUGCUUCAUUAAGGACAGGUUUAAGAAAUUGAAUGUUAUGUUUGAGGAACUCCAUUAGAGAUAAUCUCAGUGGACAGCUCCUGACAUCCAUCUGCUAGUGUCUCUCAAGCCUGCAGUUGCUGAAGUCUUGUUGGUA